UUAAAUUGAAGAGUUUGAUCAUGGCUCAGAUUGAACGCUGGCGGCAGGCCUAACACAUGCAAGGCGAA
rnacentral:rRNA from 1 species